UACGUAGGGGGCAAGCGUUGUCCGGAUUUAUUGGGCGUAAAGAGCGUGUAGGCGGUUUGGUAGGUCCGCUGUGAAAACUCGAGCUCAACCUCGAGACGCCGGUGGAAACCAUCAGACUAGAGUCCGGAAGAGGAGAGUGGAAUUCCUGGUGUAGUGGUGAAAUACGUAGAUAUCAGGAGGAACACCGGUGGCGAAGGCGGCUAUCUGGCCUAAUAUUGACGCUGAGAUGCGAAAGCGUGGGGAUCAAACAGG
rnacentral:rRNA from 1 species